rnacentral:tRNA from 1 species
CCUCUGAUAGCUCAGUUGGUAGAGCGGUGGACUGUAGAUAAAAUUCAGAAAUCCAUAGGUCGCUGGUUCAAAUCCGGCUCAGAGGA